UUUUGGACAAUGGGCGAAAGCCUGAUCCAGCCAUUCCGCGUGCAGGACGAAGGCCUUCGGGUUGUAAACUGCUUUUGUACGGAACGAAAAGGUUUCAGCUAAUACCUGGGACUCAUGACGGUACCGUAAGAAUAAGCACCGGCUAACUACGUGCCAGCAGCCGCGGUAAUACGUAGGGUGCGAGCGUUAAUCGGAAUUACUGGGCGUAAAGCGUGCGCAGGCGGUCUUGUAAGACAGAUGUGAAAUCCCCGGGCUCAACCUGGGAACUGCAUUUGUGACUGCAAGGCUAGAGUGCGGCAGAGGGGGAUGGAAUUCCGCGUGUAGCAGUGAAAUGCGUAGAUAUGCGGAGGAACACCGAUGGCGAAGGCAAUCCCCUGGGCCUGCACUGACGCUCAUGCACGAAA
rnacentral:rRNA from 1 species